UUAUGACACGGAUAAACAAAAGAAGAAGAGUGAAGCAGCAACAGCAAGUAGCAGCAGAAGCAUUGGCAAUGGAGACACUGGCUAUGCGCGCGGCAUCAGCUGCAUCUGCAACCGUUCCCCAACCUCAAUUCUCAUUCCAACUUCAACACUCUCUCUUCCCCGUUCAUGGCUUCACACUCUUCCACCGAAACCGCACCGAUUCGCCUUCACAUCUUUGUUGCAGAACCAGGCACCGCCAUUCCCAACCAUUCGCCAACAAACAACACCACCUCGUGCUCCAUGAAGAACCACAACAACAAGAAGAGGAAGAAGAUGAAGAAGUAGAAGUUGAAGAAGAAGAAGCUUCGUAUUCGGAUGAUGACACUUCCUUCUUGUCCCUCACCGUUAAGCCUGACCGGAACAUGGCCUUGCUCGACGAUUACGAGACGGAGGAGCUCGAUUUCGACGAUGGCCCUAACCACAGAAGCGGAUAUGUGGCUUUACUUGGCAAGCCAAAUGUUGGCAAGAGUACACUAGCAAACCAAAUGGUUGGUCAAAAGUUGUCGAUAGUUACCGAUAAACCGCAAACGACAAGGCAUCGAAUUCUCUGUAUAUGUUCUGGAACGGAUUAUCAGAUGGUACUUUAUGACACGCCUGGCGUUCUACAGAAGGAAAUGCACAAGUUAGACUCAAUGAUGAUGAAAAAUGUUCGCAGUGCGGCGGUUAAUGCGGACUGUGUAUUGGUUCUUGUUGAUGCAUGUAAAGCACCUGAAAAAAUUGAUGAAUUGUUGGAAGAAGGCAUAGGAGAUCUCAAAGAUAAACCUCCCGUUCUACUGAUUCUGAACAAGAAGGAUCUUAUAAAACCUGGAGAAGUUGCAAAGAAACUUGAGUGGUAUGAGAAAUUUACCAACGUUGAUGAGGUUAUACCAGUUAGUGCUAAAUAUGGUCAUGGGGUUGCAGAUGUCAAGGACUGGAUACUGUCAAAGCUUCCUAAUGGACCAUCUUAUUAUCCAAAAGACAUUGUCAGUGAGCAUCCAGAAAGAUUUUUUGUUGCUGAAAUUGUUAGAGAAAAGAUUUUUAUGCAGUAUCGAAAUGAAAUUCCCUACGCAUGCCAGGUGAAUGUUGUAAGCUAUAAGGCUCGACCGAAUGCGAAAGAUUUCAUACAAGUCGAGAUUUUGGUUGAGAAAAACUCACAAAAGAUGAUCGUUAUUGGAAGAGAAGGAAAGGCUUUGAAACUGCUUGCUACAGCUUCCCGCCUUGACAUAGAAGAUUUUCUACAGAAGAAAGUUUAUCUUGAGAUUGAAGUGAAGGUUAGAGAAAAUUGGCGACAAGACGAAGGCCUCCUUAAGGACUAUGGUUAUGGGGGUCAGAUACGUGUUUUAUGAUGUGAAGAAGUAACGAAUAACUCGUUGGACAUCAAUCAUAAUAUCGCUUAUGCGAUAAACACCUAUUGCCAUAAGCGCUUAAUUAAACUGUUUACAUAGAUGCACCGUAUGUCUGGUUGUGGUAAGACAAGAUGAAACGGAGAAACUCUAUUGAAAGACAAGCUAUCCAGGAGGCUAGAGUGUAUCUAGGACUGAGCCAACCUAUAGAAAGAUAGGUUGGGAAGGAGCCAAUCAAAUGAAAAAAACAGAAUACAUGAUUCAACAGCAACUUUGCGAGGGAUUAGCCUCACUGAGCUUUCUGAAUUUAGAUUCUUGUGCAGCACAACAGGAUUAUAUGUCUGCUUGAUCCUGCAAGACACGAUACUACACAAUGUGCAUGCUGCUGCAGAGGGUCCUUCUCUGAAGUUCUUCAGGUUAUGUUGUUGUCUGGUUUUGACAUAAGACGGUGGUCGCAAAGCAAGCAGGAAUGGAAGUGAAAUAUCAAUCAACAAACCAAUCCCACAUUUUUGGCCUAAUUGCUCUGUUUUACCAUGAAAUGUGAACGCAUGAGCCCAAUCUCAAUAGUAAGAUUUUUCAAGGCACAACCAACCAGCAAUGACAAAAUUAGAUUGGAAAGGUUAAGGAAUACCAACCAUUUGAUUGAGAGUUGACUCCAGCUCAUGGAACAAAAACUUAGGAUGAAACUCGGAUGACCCAUCAAUGAAAGCUUCUUGUUCAACCACUUGAACUUGUCCAUCACUCUUUUCAUCUCUGUGAGCACAAGCUCCUUUGAAUCCAUCAUCCAUUGCAUUAGCUGCACAGAGUUUGUCACCAACAAACCCGCCAAGAAAGAGUGUUCUUGAGUUAGAAAAUCUACGAGCAAAUGAAGAAGAAUUUUUCAACAAUCUAUGUUUAUGCUGCAGAUUUGUCCCGAGAAAAUUGUUAGAUGGAUUGUAGAAAAUGGCAGCUGUAUUUGCCGUCAUAUGGAAGGAUAACUACAGCAUAAUCACUCUGACUAGCUAGCUAUAGGCUUCUGAGAAGGAUGGAUACUUAGCAAUGCUCUUCAUUGGGGCCGCAAAGUUUGUUCGAAAGUGUCUGAUUUGAGAGAAAAAUACUAAAAAAUAAAGGCUCACAGAGAAUAAGGGAAAUAGUCGGGAUUGAUCCUUGUCGGAGAGGUGGUUCCGGCCGCUGUACCUACUUGGCAAGACCCAUUCAGUUGGCACUGUCACGUCAAUUAAUGAUGUUUGUGAGGAAAUUACUAGACUGUUCUUGAGUUAGAUAAUCUACCAGCAAACGAAUAAUUUUUCAUGAAUCUAUGUCUAUGCUGCAUAAUCGAUCACUCUGAAAGAGACACUUUCUGGUUGGCUGGCUACAGGCUUAUGACAAGGUUGGAAAAAAACAAAAUUAGUAUCUUCUCACUAAUCCUGCUUUUCAGGGGGCGAAAAGUUCUACAGAUUCCGAUUUGAGAGAAAAAUACUUAAAUAUAAAGGUAGCUGGCGUGGGUGACUUUUCCUUUGGUUAAUCUGGUGUAGGAUUUUUUUAUGAGUAUUUUAUGGGAAUGAUGUAGACUAAUCAUUUUUUACACCUAGGUUUUUUUUUUUCAAAUCCAGGUGUCUAUUUUGUUGUUAUAGUUAGUACCACGUACUCAUCCUAAUUAUAAAUAGGUAAUUGUUAUUGCCAUCAUCCCA